rnacentral:tRNA from 1 species
GCAUUUUUAGCUCAGUUGGUAGAGCGGCAGCUUUGUAAGCUGUUGGUCACGGGUUCGAUCCCUGUAGAGUGCU